GUCGAGGGGAAACGGGCAGAGAGUGCUUGCACACUUUGACGUCGACCGGCGCAGGGUGAGUAACGCGUAUCCAACCUGCCCUUUACUUGGGGAUAACCCGUUGAAAGACGGACUAAUACCCAAUUGAUAUUCAUUGAUGACAUCUGAUUUGAAAUUAAAGAUUUAUCGGUAUAGGAUGGGGAUGCGUCUGAUUAGCUUGUUGGUGAGGUAACGGCUCACCAAGGCCACGAUCAGUAGGGGUUCUGAGAGGAAGGUCCCCCACAUUGGAACUGAGACACGGUCCAAACUCCUACGGGAGGCAGCAGUGAGGAAUAUUGGUCAAUGGACGAGAGUCUGAACCAGCCAAGUAGCGUGCAGGAUGACGGCCCUAUGGGUUGUAAACUGCUUUUGUUUGGGAAUAAUCGACAUUACGUGUAAUGUUUUGCAUGUACCAUUCGAAUAAGGACCGGCUAAUUCCGUGCCAGCAGCCGCGGUAAAU
rnacentral:rRNA from 1 species